rnacentral:rRNA from 1 species
UAGCUACAGGCUUAACACAUGCAAGUCGAGGGGCAGCAUGGUCUUAGCUUGCUAAGGCCGAUGGCGACCGGCGCACGGGUGAGUAACACGUAUCCAACCUGCCGUCUACUCUUGGACAGCCUUCUGAAAGGAAGAUUAAUACAAGAUGGCAUCAUGAGUCCGCAUGUUCACAUGAUUAAAGGUAUUCCGGUAGACGAUGGGGAUGCGUUCCAUUAGAUAGUAGGCGGGGUAACGGCCCACCUAGUCUUCGAUGGAUAGGGGUUCUGAGAGGAAGGUCCCCCACAUUGGAACUGAGACACGGUCCAAACUCCUACGGGAGGCAGCAGUGAGGAAUAUUGGUCAAUGGGCGAGAGCCUGAACCAGCCAAGUAGCGUGAAGGAUGACUGCCCUAUGGGUUGUAAACUUCUUUUAUAAAGGAAUAAAGUCGGGUAUGGAUACCCGUUUGCAUGUACUUUAUGAAUAAGGAUCGGCUAACUCCGUGCCAGCAGCCGCGGUAAUACGGAGGAUCCGAGCGUUAUCCGGAUUUAUUGGGUUUAAAGGGAGCGUAGAUGGAUGUUUAAGUCAGUUGUGAAAGUUUGCGGCUCAACCGUAAAAUUGCAGUUGAUACUGGAUAUCUUGAGUGCAGUUGAGGCAGGCGGAAUUCGUGGUGUAGCGGUGAAAUGCUUAGAUAUCACGAAGAACUCCGAUUGCGAAGGCAGCCUGCUAAGCUGCAACUGACAUUGAGGCUCGAAAGUGUGGGUAUCAAACAGGAUUAGAUACCCUGGUAGUCCACACGGUAAACGAUGAAUACUCGCUGUUUGCGAUAUACUGCAAGCGGCCAAGCGAAAGCGUUAAGUAUUCCACCUGGGGAGUACGCCGGCAACGGUGAAACUCAAAGGAAUUGACGGGGGCCCGCACAAGCGGAGGAACAUGUGGUUUAAUUCGAUGAUACGCGAGGAACCUUACCCGGGCUUAAAUUGCAGAUGAAUUACGGUGAAAGCCGUAAGCCGCAAGGCAUCUGUGAAGGUGCUGCAUGGUUGUCGUCAGCUCGUGCCGUGAGGUGUCGGCUUAAGUGCCAUAACGAGCGCAACCCUUGUUGUCAGUUACUAACAGGUUCCGCUGAGGACUCUGACAAGACUGCCAUCGUAAGAUGUGAGGAAGGUGGGGAUGACGUCAAAUCAGCACGGCCCUUACGUCCGGGGCUACACACGUGUUACAAUGGGGGGUACAGAGGGCCGCUACCACGCGAGUGGAUGCCAAUCCCCAAAACCUCUCUCAGUUCGGACUGGAGUCUGCAACCCGACUCCACGAAGCUGGAUUCGCUAGUAAUCGCGCAUCAGCCACGGCGCGGUGAAUACGUUCCCGGGCCUUGUACACACCGCCCGUCAAGCCAUGGGAGCCGGGGGUACCUGAAGUGCGUAACCGCGAGGAGCGCCCUAGGGUAAAACUGGUGACUGGGGCUAAGUCGU